ACACCCUGGGAGUGGCAGCCAGGAGCAGUGCUGCUCAGCUCCUGACAGAGCAAACUCAAAGCCUCUUUCUUCAGGAAAAAAUAGAUGCUUCCAGGCUUUGCUCCCUUUUUACAGAGCCAACAUGACAAACCCUUACCCAGGGAGGAAGGAGAGGCAGCCAGAAAGCACAAUCAUCUCCCCAUCUUUGGGAGAAAAGUUUCUCCAACCCAGCAGGUCCCUGAGCCUCCACUGGACCAUCCACUUUGGCCAAGCCACAGGCCAAGGGCCCCCUGGGAAACUCACCUGGGCCCCGGGUCAGACUCCGCUCCCUGGGGAUGCAGAAGCAGCCACCCAUGUGUGUACCAUCCUACCCUGGCCGAGGCCCUUGGGAACACCGGCCAGAAGAGUGCUGCAAGAGACAGCCUCCCAACGGUGUCCCUCCUCCCGCCUCCUCCCUGGCACACGAGGGACCGAGGCCUGCUCAAUGCACAAUGCAGCCUUUGAUAUCCCGGCUACAGCAGGAGGCCCAGGGAGGGUGGGAGGGGCAGCCCAGCCCAGCCUGCAGGCCCACAGCUCCUGCACUGUCAGGCCUGGGGAACAGGGCUCCUCCCUGCCUCUCAGCAGAUCGCUUCAUGCCUAUCAGCCUGCAGCACAUUCCUCGCAUUCUAGGAUUGAGAUACACAGUUUGGUUCUUGUGGGGGCAGCCAGGGCGGGGGAGGAGGGCAGAGAACAUCCCAGAGAUCAAGACUGCUCUUCUUGCUCCCUCCCUGACUGACUUGGCCCACACUGACUGACCUGCCACCCCUUUACAGUGAUCUCCACCCAGUCUCUCUCUGCAAAGGCCUCCUUUGGCUCUCUGAUAAAGUUGGAGCUGUGGGUGCAGCAUUUCACUUCCACCUAGCAGCAUCAAUGAGCCAGCUGCUUACUGGGGAACACGCAAACCCCCAGCUGCUGGCGUGCAGGAAAAGAAUCCAGGAGAUCACCUGAUGAAGCCCAGCAUUUUACAGAUAGGCAGUGGAGCAGGGGAAUCCAGUUGACACUGUGGCUAAAUUUCAGAACACCUCCCACGAGAUCUUGCAAAGGAGAUGGAGAAAAUAUGGCUGAAUGCCAGCAAGGUUGGACGGAAGCAUGACUGCUCUAACAACCAAGCUCAAAGAGCACUGCUCACCCAAUGUUUCCUUCAUGACUAGAGCAAAGUGGUGAAAGGACCCUGGUGAGAGGCCCAAAGAACAGGAGGUGUGAGCCAACAGAAGGUGGGGUCCUGCUGGGCCUAUGUUGCAGGCUAUUUGGAGGCUGAACUUGAGGAAACUUCAGUCUUCAGUCUUAAGGCCUUCAACUGAUUGGAAGGCCCCCAGUCAGCUGGUGGGGAAGACCCAUGCACAUUAUAGAGGGUAAUCUGCUUUGUUCACUGUCUACUGAUGUCAAUGUUAAUUAUCUUUAAAAAAAAAUACCUUCAAUAUCUAUUUUGUUCUUUGGUCAAACAACUGGGCACCAUGACCUAGCCAAGAGAACACAUGAAAUUAACCAUCACAGAGACCCAUGAGGAUGUGUUGAUAUAUUGAAUGUAUGAGAGGAAAAAAAAUCUACUUUUGAGUAGUUCUGAGUUUUUUUACCUGAACAACUGAAAUAAUUUAAUAUUUAUUGAAAUGUUAAAUGCUAGAAGAAAAGAAGCUUUGUGAAUGGAAACCAGGAGUUUGGUUUUGUAUAUGUAAUAUUUAAUAGUCCUUUAGUAUAUCCAAGCAGAUGUAGACAAAGCAAUCUGGAGUUCAUGGAGAAGUUAAAAGCUGAAGGUAAGUAUUUGGGAGUUGUCACUGUGUAGAGGGUAUGUAAAGUUAGAAGACCAAAUAAGAUCUCUUAAGGUUGAAAGUGGAGGAUAGAAUACAGAGGAUAUAUAAAGAAUGAGCCCUACAAGCACAUUAAUUUUUAUAUGAAUAAGAAAGGAGUAGAAACCAGCAAAAGCAAUAGAGAAAGAGUGGCCAGUGAGAGGAUAUGCACCAAGAGCAUAAGAUGGUACAGAAUUCAAGUGAAGAAAGUGUUUCAAGAGCAGAAGGUGAUUAACUAUGUCAAAUGCUGCUAAUAAGUAAGAUGUGCACAGAGAAUUUACCACUGGACAUCUUGGUGGAGCAGUGGAGAUAAAAGCUAGAUUGGGAAAGCUUCAAGAGUAUAUGGUAAAAAAAAAAAAAAAAAAAGAAGUGGC